AGAUGCACGAAAUGAAAGAUGCCAUUUUCAGACGAAACAAAAGGCAGCACAAAAGACAAAGCUGUACAGUCACUGUCUUUGCUUUCAUUUUCCUUUCGUUUUGGGCUGCGUAACAAUAAACAGACAUCAUACUAGCUUUAAUCUAUACUUCAUAGGUCUUCUAAGAGUAAGAGGUCAUGCGUGUGCGUGGAGAAGUAAUACGGAUCCUGUGAAAUCUGCCACUACUUUGGAAAGUGCUACGGAGCCUCAGGCUGAAAAGGGAGUUCAAAUGAAAUUGCAUGGCACUGCAUACAUUACAUGGACAUCUUAUACUGCCAUCUGUAAAUAUGAAAAGUCAAAUAAAUCUACAGCUUUCACAGUC